GAUGAACGCUAGCGGCAGGCCUAAUACAUGCAAGACGAACGGUAAAUAUUAUAGCAAUAUGAUAUGAGAGUGUCGUACGGGUGCGUAACACGUAUGCAACCUACCCUUUACAGGAGGAUAGCUCAGGGAAAACUUGGAUUAACCCUCCAUAGUACUAUGAUGUGGCAUCAUGUUAUAGUUAAAACUGCGGUGGUAAAGGAUGGGCAUGCGUAUGAUUAGCUAGUUGGUAGUGUAACGGACUACCAAGGCGAUGAUCAUUAGGGGACCUGAGAGGGUGAUCCCCCACACUGGCACUGAGAUACGGGCCAGACUCCUAUGGGAGGCAGCAGUAGGGAAUAUUGGUCAAUGGGUGCGAGCCUGAACCAGCCAUGCCGCGUGCAGGAAGACGGCCCUUCUGGGUUGUAAACUGCUUUUUGACAGGGAUAAAAUAUCCUUGCGAGGAGAAUUGAAGGUACCUGUCGAAUAAGCCACGGCUAACUACGUGCCAGCAGCCGCGGUAAUACGUAGGUGGCGAGCGUUGUCUGGAUUUAUUGGGUUU
rnacentral:rRNA from 1 species